CUCGAGGACCAUACUUUUCAAAUAUACUCAUCAAGGAAGAUGGCACCCCAAUCUCUGUUUCUGUAGGCGAGGAGGAGCCUAACUUCAGCAGGUAGCCUUGUUCCAGAUUGUAAACCUACUUCUUGGCAUGAAGAACAUGAAGUAACGCUAGGAGAGAGCAAUUCCAUGGGAGAGAUGCCAGCAGGGGCCACAACCAGAAUGUGGGGAGACGGUGCCCCUGAAAAAAGAGGAGGAGGAGAGGAAGUGGCAGGCUAUGCUGGCUUCUGUCGUUGGAUCAACAGCUCCUAUAAUUAAACUUGGUUUACAUAGUCAGGUUUCAGCAGUCAAGACCUAACAGGAGCAAAAGAGGAAAUGGUAUACAGAGAGGAGAAAUAAAGGCUUAUAACAUUCACCUGCAUUAAAAGAAAGGAAAAAUCUGCAGAAAACAUUUCAUUAUGACGCCUCACAAAAGGAAAUUUCUGAGGCACAGAAAUUUAUCUUCAACUUACCUGAAUUAAGAACUGAGAUUCCCAACAUGAAUGCUAGCAAGAAUUUCUGAGUUCAUGGCUCUACACUGUGCAACUUCAAUAAGAGCUACUAGAUGUCAAGAUAGUUUAUCAGAAGAAGCUGAUCCGUGGCUCCUUGGUCAUCUUCACCUGCAUACACAAGUGCCUGAAGCUGGAGCAUCCAGAGAGUAAUUAGACAGAGAAAUCUGGCAAACUUUUACACUGGUGAACCAAGAAGGAAAAAGCUAAAUUGUCAUUAGUUGCACAUAAUAUAUUUCUGUUCCUGGUAAAUGCAAAAGGACCACUUAAAAACUAAUAAGCCUAAUGAGUAUUCAGUAAAAUAGUCAGAUACAAGGAAACAUACCAAAAUAAUAUCUUUCUCAAAUGCCAGCAAUAAUCAGUUAGGAACUCAAGCGCUCACACACACACACACACACACACCACAUACACACAAUUUAAAGGAGAAAAAAACUCCUACUGGGUACUUAGGAAUGAACUUCAGAAAUUAGAGAAAGGUGCAACUGAACAAAAUAACAAAUAGUAAAGAAGUAUUAAUUUUAAAGUCUUAAUAAAAGGUACCGUAUUCCUGGAAUAGAAGAAUCAAUAAUACAAAUAUAUCAGUUAUCCCAAAAUAAACAUGAUAUUUCAAUGUAAUCUCCUUCCAAACUGUAAUAAGAAGUAUAUAUACGCGUGCUGACAUGGAAAUACACUCCAUGCAUAUUAUUAGUUGAGAAAAAGCAAGAUGUAGAAUAAUAUCUGAUCCUGCAUCAGUCAACUGAAGUUGUAUAUACAUAGAAUACAUAGAAUCUGCAUGCAUUUUUCUUCCUUUCUCUGUGUGUGCAUUUACACAGGAAUGGAAUAAUCCACACCAAACUCUUAAUAUUGGUGAUUGCUGAGAAACAGGAGUCAGAAAACUUUUUAUAUAUUAUGUUCUUCUGUUUUUCGUGAAAUUUGUAUGAUGAUCACACUAUAUUUGAAAAAAGAGAAUAAAUCAACAAAGAAGCCCAAAGAAAAUAAGUCAUAUUGGGGGGCACAAAAUAAUCAUUUCUAGGAACCUCUGGUUACUUACAAAUCUGUUUCAAGAAAGGCAGUAAGGUAUGCUGAAAUGACUCCCUCAAU